rnacentral:rRNA from 1 species
GACGAACGCUGGCGGCGUGCUUAACACAUGCAAGUCGAACGGAAAGGCCCUGCUUUUGUGGGGUGCUCGAUUGGCGAACGGGGGAGUAACACGUGAGUAACCUGCCCUUGACUUUGGGGUAACUUCACGAAACUGGGGCUAAUACCGGAUAGGAGCUCCUGCUGCGUGGUGGGGGUUGGUAAGUUUCGGCGGUUGGGGAUGGACUCGCGGCUUAUCAGCUUGUUGGUGGGGUAGUGGCUUUCCAAGGCUUUGACGGGUAGCCGGCCUGAGAGGGGGACCGGCCACAUUGGGACUGAGAUACGGACCAGAAGGCUACGGGAGGCAGCAGUGGGGAACAUGGCACAAUGGGCGGAAGCCUGAGGCAGCAACGCCGCGUGCGGGAUGACCGCCUUCGGGUGGUAAACCGCUUUCGCAUGUGACGAAGCGUGAGUGACGGUAAUGGGUAAAGAAGCACCGGCUAACUACGUG